GUGUAAAGGGCAGAACACCACCUGACCAUCACCCCUCGUUCUGGAUCGUUCGGCCACUCCCGAGCGACACUUGGCUCAUUUCUCUCUGCCACGUAUGUCUCGAGAACCCUGCUUCUUCCGGUCACUCCACGUCUUGAGGCCCCAGUGAACACCUAACCGAGUCUACCUCGAGCCUCACCAACACCCAGACGGCAGAAAACUCCUGGACGCUCCAAGGACUGGCUUCUUCUCUGCUGCCCUGGUUUCACCCUCUACCUGGUUCCGUCAACGAGUCUGCCUCCAGUGUUGGUGAGAUUAGUGUUCCUUUGGCCCUCACUCGCUCUGGAGGGUGACUCAUGUAUCUUUUCACGUCCCUCCAUCGUGUCACUUUUGGGAGUCUUUCACGUGCCGGAAGGUGACGGGCGAGGGAGGGAGUGCCGGAUCAAAAGAAAAUGUACAGAAAAUGGGAAGGUGCAUACAAGAUUUUUAAGCCUUUCAGUACUGGGACGCUUUCUUGCCUUGAGUUUUGGGUAUAAUUAGACCAUUUAUUGAUAUUAACAAUGGUCUAUGGAGGUCAUAAGAUUCUCAUCCCCUGAUAUGUUUCUGAAGCUGUAUAAAAUCACCAAAUACUAAGCAGAAUGAGUAAGAACACAUGAUGCUGAAAAGAUGAACCCCUUCAAUACUGAGACACAUUUUUAUCACGAAUUUUAGGUAUGAUUAGACGAUUUUUUAUCCUCUUUCUGAAGCUGUAUAAAAUCGCCAAGUAGUAAGCAGAAUGAGUAAGAGAAUGCGUUGUGGUACUGAAAGCGGUCCACUCGGAAAUACAAACAUCUAGACAGGAUAUAAGACACAUCCAGAACAUAUUUGUGUAACCAGGGGGAGAGGAGUAUCAAGAUGCAUUGUUAACUAAAUUUAACAUUUAUUAUUUAGCGACA